rnacentral:rRNA from 1 species
UGGUCUUGACAUCCCGGAGACCCUUAGGAAACUAGGGGUGCUUCCAUCUGGAAGAAUCUGGAGACAGGUGCUGCAUGGCUGUCGUCAGCUCGUGUCGUGAGAUGUUGGGUUAAGUCCCGCAACGAGCGCAACCCUUGCCUUUAGUUGCCAGCAGUUCGGCUGGGCACUCUAAAGGGACUGCCGGUGUUAAACCGGAGGAAGUGGGGAUGACGUCAAGUCCUCAUGGCCUUUAUGACCAGGGCUACACACGUACUACAAUGGCCGAUACAAAGGGCAGCGACACUGCGAGGUGAAGCCAAUCCCGUAAAAUCGGUCUCAGUCCGGAUUGGAGCCUGCAACUCGACUCCAUGAAGUUGGAAUCGCUAGUAAUCGUGGAUCAGCAUGCCACGGUGAAUACGUUCCCGGGCCUU